rnacentral:rRNA from 1 species
CUAGAUAUUUUACACAAAAUAAUUCGCCAGGGGACUACUAGCAAUAGCUUAAAACUCAAAGGACUUGGCGGUGCUUUAUAUCCCUCUAGAGGAGCCUGUUCUAUAAUCGAUAAACCCCGAUAAACCUCACCACCUUUCGCUAAUUCAGUCUAUAUACCGCCAUCUUCAGCAAACAAACAUCG